GAGUGGGUGGCUCAGUGGUUAGAGCCUAGGUCUCGUAACCGAAAGGUUCCGAGUUCAAACCUCGCCAGAGGCA
rnacentral:tRNA from 1 species